UUAACUCAAAUUUAUUUGGAGUUGGAACGUUUGCCGCUAGGGGCGCUAUUCCAACUGCAUACAAAUUUGAGUUA
rfam:Bombyx mori DNA, contig: Bm_scaf36_contig21567, strain: p50T/Dazao, build 2, whole genome shotgun sequence.